rnacentral:rRNA from 1 species
GGAAGUAAAAGUCGUAACAAGGUUUCCGUAGGUGAACCUGCGGAAGGAUCAUCACUGAUUUAGCGAACCGAGCGUUAGCGAGGUUUUGCGAUCACUUAUAUUUAAAACCCACUCUUGAACGUAUAAAAUUUUAUGUAUGAAUGAUAAAUUAAAAGAUCACUUUCAACAACGGAUCUCUUGGCUCUCGCAUCGAUGAAGAACGUAGCGAAGUGCGAUAAGUAAUGUGAAUUGCAGUAUUCCGUGAAUCAUCGAAUCUUUGAACGCAUAUUGCACUUUCUGGUAUUCCGGAAAGUAUGCCUGUUUGAGGGUCAGUUAAAUAAAAAUCGGUGUUGUUGCCGCUUUCCGUGGUGACGCGUCGGAAUUGAGUCGUCUUCGGUUAAGUGACUUAAAAUUUUAUAUGAUUUUCGAACGUAUUUAAAUUUAUUUGAACGUUUGAUAUCGAAUGCUUAUUAGGUUCGGUCAUCCUCAUGACUCGCGCCUAUAAUUUUUCAUUAAAUGACCUCAAAUCAGGUAAGAAUACCCGCUGAACUUAAGCAUAUCAAUAAGCGGAGGA